rnacentral:tRNA from 1 species
AAAUAAGAAGCAAAAUUUGCAUUUAGUUUCGGCCUAAAAGUUUGAUGGUCGCCCAUCCUUAUUUA